ACACGACUACAUUAGAUAACCCGUGUAGUCCUAGCCGUAAACGAUACUCGCUAGGUGUCGGCCACGGUGCGACCGUUGUCGGUGCCGUAGGGAAGCCGUGAAGCGAGCCACCUGGGAAGUACGGCCGCAAGGCUGGAACUUAAAGGAAUUGGCGGGGGAGCACAACAACGGGUGGAGCUUGCGGUUUAAUUGGAUUCAACGCCGGAAAUCUUACCGGGACCGACAGCAACAUGAAGGCCAAGCUGAAGACUUUGCCGGAUUAGCUG
rnacentral:rRNA from 1 species